GGGAAUGCAUGCUGGGAGCUGUACUGCUUAGAACAUGGUAUCCAUCCAGAUGGACAGAUGUCAAGUGAUAAAACUGUAAUUGUAGGUGGUGACGAUUCCUUCAACACGUUUUUCAGCGAGACUGGAGGUGGCAAGCACGUGCUACGUGCCGUCUUUGUGGACUUGGAACCAAACGUAGUAGGGAGUGGGAAAUGAUUUUGGAAACCAGCAAUAGGGGAAGAGAUCCAUACCACGGAUAGCUACUUGUAGCUGAAACUGCAGAAUGGGAGGAUGAAGAUACUAUAUCAUCUAAACAAUCAUAGGAUUGCCAUUAUGCUUGUACUGGAUACAAGAAUCAUUAGAAUAAAGUAGUCUAGUAAACAUGAUAUAAAUAUGCAUUAAUCUAUGAAAA